GGUCCGGUAGCUCAGUCGGUAGAGCAAAUGGCUUUUAACCAUUGGGUCCCUGGUUCGAGUCCAGGCCGGAUCACCA
rnacentral:tRNA from 1 species